rnacentral:rRNA from 1 species
CCUACGGGAGGCAGCAGUGGGGAAUUUUGCACAAUGGGCGGAAGCCUGAUGCAGCGACGCCGCGUGGAGGAUGAAGGCCUUCGGGUUGUAAACUCCUUUGUAGGGGACGAUGGUGACGGUACCCUACGAAUAAGCCACGGCUAACUCUGUGCCAGCAGCCGCGGUAAGACAGAGGUGGCGAGCGUUGUUCGGAAUCACUGGGCUUAAAGGGUGCGUAGGUGGUUUUUCAAGUCAGGAGUGAAAGGCUACGGCUCAACCGUAGUAAGCUCUUAAAACUGUAAAACUUGAGUGCAGGAGAGGAGAGUGGAAUUCCUAGUGUAGCGGUGAAAUGCGUAGAUAUUAGGAGGAACACCAGUUGCGAAGGCGGCUCUCUGGACUGUAACUGACACUGAGGCACGAAAGCGUGGGGAGCAAACAGGAUUAGAUACCCUGGUAGUCCACGCCGUAAACGAUGAGUGCUAAGUGUUAGAGGGUUUCCGCCCUUUAGUGCUGCAGCUAACGCAUUAAGCACUCCGCCUGGGGAGUACGGCCGCAAGGCUGAAACUCAAAGGAAUUGACGG